AGAGUUUGAUCAUGGCUCAGGACGAACGCUGGCGGCGUGCUUAACACAUGCAAGUCAAGGAGAAAGGUUCCUUCGGGAAACGAGUAAACUGGCGAACGGGUGAGUAACACGUAGGUAACCUGCCCUAGAGACUGGGAUAACUCCGCGAAAGCGGUGCUAAUACUGGAUAAUGCAGCGGGUCCUUCGGGACAUUGUUGUUAAAACUGGCUUCGGCUAGUACUUUAGGAUGGGCCUGCGCCCGAUUAGCUUGUUGGUAGGGUAACGGCCUACCAAGGCGAUGAUCGGUAGCUGGUCUGAGAGGAUGAUCAGCCACACUGGGAUUGAGAUACGGCCCAGACUCCUACGGGAGGCAGCAGUGGGGAAUUUUGCGCAAUGGGCGAAAGCCUGACGCAGCAACGCCGCGUGACCGAUGAAGCUUCUAGGAGUGUAAAGGUCUGUCGUGAGGGAAGAAAAAUCCGGAUGUAAAUAAUGUUCGGACGUGACGGUACCUCACAAGAAAGCACCGGCUAACUUAGUGCCAGCAGCCGCGGUAAUACUAGGGGUGCUAGCGUUGUCCGGAAUCACUGGGGCGUAAAGGGGUCCGUAGGCGUUUUUGCUAAGUUGAUUGUUAAAUCCAUCGGCUCAACCGAUGAUCUGCAAUCAAAACUGGCAGAAAUAAAGUUCGAGAGA
rnacentral:rRNA from 1 species